AGUUAAAUAUUUACAUACAUCUUUAAUUAUCAUUUUCUUAGGAUAAAUUCUCAGAAGUAGAAUUCUUGGAUCAAAAAAGGCAUUUGUGUUUUAAAGGCGAUUGCUAGUCAUUUCUAUAUUCAACAUUUCCACAUUGCCCUUCAGAAAAAUUCUACCAGUUUAUACUUCAAAUAACAGCCUUUCAGCCCAGGUGACUGGGUGGGGGAUGGUGCUGUUAAUUGAGUUGAACUACAGAGGAGGAGAACCUAGUUUGUGAGAGGAAAGAUACUGGGUUCAGGUUGGGAUAUGGUAACUGAAUUAUUUUUAUUAACUCCUAGAUAUUCAAAUUACUUUGAAUUAUCUUUAUGAUAAUGACAACAAUAAUAAAAAUAAUAAUAGCUGACAUUCUUCAUACUGUUACUGUGUGCCAAGCCCCUUGCAUGAAUUAUCUCACUUAAUUCUCACAACUCUAUGAAUAGUGGUAAAAUUACCCCCAUUUUAUAGAGGAGAAGAGUGAGGUCUAGAGAACUUGAGUAACUUGACCAGGGUUACAGAGCUAGUAAGUAGUAGAAUAGGAAUUCAAAUUAAAACCCGGCCUGCCCUAACAAGUAGAUCUUAGAAGAACAGUAUAUAGAGGAGGAGAUGAGGUCACAGUAAUUAAAUUGUAUUCUCAAGAAAGUAUGGUAAAGAGCUAUAUCGAACGAAAGAGGCUAUAUUCAAUUUGAAAGCAAUUAGUCUACCUAUUUUUCCUAGCAUAUUGCUAAUUCAUCUCACUUUUUUUCAUUAUUCUCCCCACUUUAAAUAUUGUCCAUUCUUCAAAGCCAAGCCAAUACCAUUCUUCAUCUCAUUCUUUGUCAGUAAAGACUUCCUUGAUGCCCCAACCCAUCUCUUCUUCCCCUCCAGUUGGAUCCCACUUGAUGGCUGCCCAUCAUUGACCUUUAUCACAUAACUGCCUUGCACUAAGAGUUAUUUUUCAAUGCCAGGUCUUCCCAAAUAUACUGUGAGCCAUUUAAGGCAAGUGCUUUCAGUUAAGUUCAUCAGACCCUUUUAUAGUUAUCAUGGACCAGGCACUGGGCUGAAUGUAUUCUAUUUCAUAUAUAUCAGCCACAAUCCUGUAAGAUUAAUAUCAUUGUUAUCUGCACUUUGUAGAAGAGGAUCUGAGGCCCAGAAGGGUAAUUUGCUGAAGUUCACAUAUAUAAAUGCCUAUACAGGAUAUAACUUUUUAUUGGUAUACUGAAGUGCUUGAGA